CCAGGACUACAACUCAUACGGAUGGUGGGUUGGUGAGAUGAAAGGAAUUAUCGGGAUCGUCCCAAAGGAUUACCUCAUGACUGCCUAUGACAUGUGAAGAAGCAUCGCGGUGGAUCCCACCAGCGGCCGGCCACAGCCCACCUUUGUCCAGACCGAAGGCAGGGCGGGUGAGAGCUUGGCAGCAGAUCGACGGUGAAAGGAAGUUUCUUUGUGGCCGGUUGAGUGGUGACCCGGGGACAGCUGGAGUUGGGGAAGCAGGAAGAUCAGAAACUUGCACGCUCUCUUCUGCAUCCAAAUAAAGACUUGCUUCACCCAUG